rnacentral:rRNA from 1 species
CCCUUAGAUGUUCUGGGCCGCACGCGCGCUACACUGUUCGACGCAGCGAGUCUUAACCUUGACCGAAAGGUUUGGGUAAUCUUCAGCAAAGUCGAACGUGAUGGGGAUCGAUCAUUGCAAUUAUUGAUCGUGAACGAGGAAUACCUAGUAAGUGCGAGUCAUCAGCUUGCGCUGACUUACGUCCCUGCCCCUUGUACACACCGCCCGUCGCUGCCCGGAACUGAGCCGUUUCGAGAAAGCCGGGGACUGACGGCUUGUGGGUGCGCAAGCGCUUCUUGCCGAUGGAAACCAGUUUAAUCGGUAUGGCUUGAACCGGGCAAAAGUCGUAACA